AUUGAACGCUGGCGGCAGGCCUAACACAUGCAAGUCGCGCGAGCGGCGGACGGGUGCGUAAUGUAUGGGGACUGCCCGAUAGAGGGGGAUCACUACUGGUAACGGUGGCUAAUACCGCCUACUAUCGGCUACCCCAUAUGGGAUUAGCUAGCAGGUGGGGUAAAGGCUCACCUAGGCGACGAUCUCUGGCUGGUCUGAGAGGAUGAUCAGCCACACCGUGACGUAGAAACGGCCCAUACUCCUAAGGAGGCAGCAGUGGGGAAUAUUGCAAAAUGGGCGCAAGCCUGAUGCAGCCAUUCCGCGGGUAUGAAGAGGGCCUUAGGGGUGAAAAGUACUGGCAGCGGGGAGACGUGACCCGCAGAAGAAGCACCGGCGAACUCCGUGCCAGCAGCCGCGGUAAUAC
rnacentral:rRNA from 1 species